UUUAGAUUAGAUUGCUAUUCCUUAGCAGAGCCUGCAUGUCCUUUUGAGGUCUCACUCUUUGUGUGAGGGCUGCAGAUCACUGCCUCUUCUUCCCAGCACCCUUGUAUGGCAAUAGCUGCUGUCUCUGCAGUAUCGUGUUUUCUCAUUGCAAAACCACCCAAAGUGUUUGACAGAGCUGUCUUGGCUGUACAGCGAAGUCCAGCGGGAAGUAAAUACGAGCUGCCAACUCUCAGCAAGACGAACAGAUCUGCAUGGUUGCUGAGGAAGAGAGCUCAUGGCUGGAAAUUGCCUUUCACUGAUUUUUCUUCCCUAGUGCCCGCAGCCGCUGUGAGCCCUAGCAGCCCGGAGGGCUGGGCAGCACCUGGCACACCGACCCGACCAUGCCAUCAGCUCCGGGCUGCACGCACCGAGGUGCUUAUAGCUGCCUUUUAGCCCCUUGUGGAAGUCAGCAGAGAAGAUGGGCCGAUAGGCAAGCAGUGAAAAGCCCGGUGAGAGGCCAAAGCAACCUCCUGAGGCAACUGCAAUGAAACUCUGCAGUAAGGCACAUCUCUGCUAGGGAAACCUUGCCAGGCAGGUGGAUUUCAAAGCACUUUCGUGUUGAACUGCUCAAACAUAAAGACUUUAAAACCCAGCUGUGCAGACAAGUACCGGGAGUCUC